UCUGCAUCAGAAGCAAAAACGUCCACUGUCCCUGCUUUCAACUGUCCCCUGCUGGCCGGUUCAGAGCCUGGCGUCCUCUCAGGUGACACCAAAGAGCCUGUGGCCUGGGAAGCUCAGAGAUUUAUUCGAUGUUGCCACAAGGCAGCUGUGGCUAGCACUGCAGAUCAAGACUUCGGGUAUUUCAUGUUCUUUAUUUUUCCAGACAAUCAAAGACUUUUAACUGACUAUUUGCUUCAUACCAGGAAACCCUGAGGCCUCCACCCUGGUGUCCUGAGGACCCUCCUCCUGUUAUGGAGUCCAAGAAAAGAUGAUGUCCUGUCUGACCCGCUGGUUGCAGAGGAAUGAGAGACUCAUGGAGCCAGCCUGGACCAAACCCACAGCCUGGAGCCAAGCCUAGCCCAGCCCAACCAAGAUCGGCAGAGCCACAGCUGUCAAGCCACAGACACGGGCAAAAAUAAAUGAUUAUGGCUUUAAGCCACUGAGUUUGGGUUGGUGUGUCGUGCAGCAGCGUUAUCGGAUGGAUGACUGACACAUCCUGUCAUUCUCUUGCUGUGUGAUCUUGUGCCUGUCACGUUCUUCUCUGGGUUUCAGUUUCUUUAAAGGUGGCAUGAAAGAGUUGAUCACUGAGUGAUUUCUCAGCUCUCUUCCAAUACUAAGACUCUGGAUUGCAAAACAGGGUUUGGGGGCGAGAGGGGAGGAGAGUGUUCCAGAAUAAAAUCCCAAUGCACUGGUGCAAAGAAGGCUAUGCAGGAAAGGCGAUGUGAGGGGACAGGUUUAUCUCACUGGAGCAGGUGGUCUGAGCAGGCAGGCGGGGGUGGCUUGGCCAUCGGGGGCUGAUGCAGGAAUGUUUGGGUCUGGGCUGCCGGAGCUGCACCUGUCCGUCCUCCACUGCUUCUGAACCUCUGGUGGAUUAGCUUCUGACCCACCGUGCUGCUGAAACUGCCUUCUCAGUUAUGACUCUCAUCAACAAAUCCCCACUUUGGCCCAUAGACUCCCAGAACGUGAUGCCUCCUUCCCACCCUCUUUCCUGGCUUCUGUGCCUCCUGGUCUUCGGGCCCUCGCAUCUCCAUCUGCCCACUUGGUUUCUGUCUUCUUCUCUGAGUCUACUCUGAAGGUGUCCCUCAAGCUUCCUUCCUCAGCUUCUUCUUCUCAGCUUAGUAAUGAGUGGACUUCAGGGAUCUGGACCCCAAGUGAGGAACCUGGGUACAUAGGUCAGGGUUCCAGGCAAAGCAGGCACAGGGCAUGAGAAACAAGAUCUUAAUACUGCCGAAAAGCAAGUGACAGCUUGGCAUGAACACUAAGGGACCCAGUGCUGGACUGAAAGAACUAUUAUGUGUUAUAGCUCCACAUCUACUCGCAGCUCCAGCGUGACCAUUCCUACCUCAUAUAUUCUGUACUCAUGGCUGCAAUAGAUGGUCUGAGCAGGGGUGGCCAAACCUCUCAGGCCACCUUAAAGCAGAGGCGGGCAGUCUCCAUCUCUCCUCUGUUCAGCACAGGAUGGUCCUCAAAUGCUCUUUUUUCAGUAGACUUAUUCUUUCCUUUCCCUCUAGCAUGAGUACCCUCUCACUGCUGGCCUCUCCCACUGUCCUGUGAAUUCUUAGCACAUCCUGGACCGCAGCCUAUGGGGUGAUGGAUGCUCCGCUAUUCAUCUUGCAAGUAACCUUUGCCUUGGAUUGUGAUUUUGCUUGAAGAGUGUUCUUGCUGCUCUUCUAAGUCCCACCUGCCUGGGUUUGGAAA